UGCUCAACACUGUGGAACCAAUUCUUAUUUGUAAUCCGAAUUUUGGAGAUUUCAGUGUUGAACAGAGGAGUGGGUUUUGUCCUUUAAUGUUUUUCUUUUGCUUAACUUCUUAGUAGUAAGGUUGAGAUUGCACAGUAUUUUCCCUGCUUAUCACUGUUUAAAUGAGUUUUCCUUCUACUAGUCCUUAAUUUCUACAUUUAUGAGAAAUCUG
rnacentral:lncRNA from 1 species